UUCCACUCGAUUAAUUGGGAGCGCACGAGCUGAAAAUGCCUGUAUAUUUCGCCUUGAGAGCCAAGUACAAAUGGUUAAAGAAUAUGCACCCAUCCUGGAAGAUGUCAUGAAGUGAUUGAUUUGGUCUGAUACUUAGAGCGGGACCAUCCAGCAUCUUCUGCUGGUAUGCAAGCACCCAGAUGACUAUUGGUGUUUUCGGGUUGAUUUGUCAUCAGUCCCAAAUAUUUAAGAAUGAGACCAUUUGUUUUAGCACGAGAUGUCGGUGCGAUUUCUAACUUUCUCAUCUUCCUAACUGGAGCUGCAACUAGGUGUUCUACAGCCUUGUUUUAUACCGUUCUUCAUGGAAUAGUAAGUUUAUGAUAUUCACUUUAUCUUUGUAUGCGUGAUGCCAUUCUCAUGCGGAAUCACUUGAUCAUGCUAAGUUUCUGUAGAUCGAGAAAGCACCACGAUCGACGGGACAUCCCAAGAAUUUGAGAGCAAGAUCUGUCCCAUUAGCACUGAGAGUGAAGUUAUAUCUCCCCAGGUUUUGUGUGGAAACAGCUAUGAGGGAUUUGGUGCGGUUUUGGAUAGUCUUCAAGUGUUUGGGAAUGAACUUCCCCACACGGCACGCUUCAUGCUUUUUGUAGACUGAAGGAGCUCCAUGGAGUUGGUUGUGGGAUUCUCCACCGUUGCUUCUUGGAGAGGGAAAAAGAAAAAACUUGUCGUUUUAGGGAGAACGUGAAACCGGCCUCUUUUGUUCUUUUCUAAUUUUCCUCAAUUCCUUGUUUUUGGGUUGAAACUAGAGAGAAGAAAAGAGAGGGAGGGAGUGACUUGGGGGACCCUUUUGUUUCUUUGAGUUUUUAAUUGUUAAUGAAGCAAAAUUUUCGAUGAG